rnacentral:rRNA from 1 species
UACGGAGGGUGCAAGCGUUAUCCGGAUUCACUGGGUUUAAAGGGUGCGUAGGUGGGCAGGUAAGUCAGUGGUGAAAUCUCCGGGCUUAACCCCGGAAACUGCCAUUGAUACUAUCUGUCUUGAAUACCGUGGAGGUGAGCGGAAUAUGUCAUGUAGCGGUGAAAUGCUUAGAUAUGACAUAGAACACCAUUGCGAAGGCAGCUCACUACACAAUCAUUGACGCUCGAGGUCACGAAAGCG